CCAUUUUCUAUUCUAUUUAUAAAAUUACUUGAGGGCCAAUUAAAAAUGGACCGCGGGCCAACCGGACUUUGGACACCCCUGUUUUAGGGGAAUGUAACAAUAGGUUAACACUUCAUUUUAACACCUAGGCAGCACAACAUCUGUCAAUGUUUGAUUUCUGGCUAAGAGAGAAGCAGUUUUAAAGGUGGCCAUUUUAUAGAUUCAGAUUUAAAAAUAUAGAUAGAGGGAAGAAAAGUAAACCAUGCAUUGGCCGGGAAUCGAACCCGGGCCUCCCGCGUGGCAGGCGAGAAUUCUACCACUGAACCACCAAUGCGUGCUGCAGCAACUUUUGCACAGAAAACAGAUGAUGGCCCACAGUCCAGUAGAACAUUGUUGUUUAGGGUAUUCUCAGUGUUGGGAACUGUAUGUGAAGAGCAAGGGUGGAUCUGAAUGUGAAACUGAAAUUGGCUAACAACACAGUCAGUCACAAGACAAUGAACAACUUUCAAAAAGUGCUCACUACUGUACCAAUGCUUGGUGAACCUUAAAUGCCAAACGUCAUACUCCAUUUCUUCCUUGGAUCCUACUUCAGUUGGGCACAGAACAAAACUGUGAGAUGUCCCUAGGAUUUAUACUGGUAUGCUCAACUACUCAGAGAAUCUGGAAGCUCUAAGCUUUUCAAGGUGUACAUUAACUGAGGUAAAUGAUUAGCUGACUGGACACAGGUGAACUGAAAAACUGAAGAGAAGCUAGACAGAAAGUACAAUAACCAAAAGUCUACUAAAUAAAACAAAUUAACUAAACAGAUCUAAUGUUUGUUGUCACAAUAAAAUUUCCCAGUUACUGAAUGUCACAUCCCUCAUGGUAAAGUUUGGUAUCAUUAAACUUGAGUGACUGAUUAUGGUCAUAAGAUAAAUCAUUUUGUUAGAGUAUUAUCUUUACAGCACUGCAAUAAUCUUUUACAACAUGACAUUCAACACGUUUAGUCUUUUGUAUUUUGGACUGUCAGUGAGAGAGAACAAUGAAUUUGUAGACGUUGCUUUAGUCUACGGUUUUUAAUUCACACCAAAUGUACUUUGAUAUGGGCUGUAUCAAUAAGGAUAUGAAAGGAUUUCUCAGAAAGAUAAAGAAACAUAAAAAAUUAAGUGAGUCUUUUGAAAAGAACCAGGAAACUGUUAUGAUGCACGACCAUUAAGAUGAGUCCCGGCCUACUAGGAGUUACUGGGUUGAAUGUAAAAAGUAUUGCUUGCUUAUUGCGCGCUAGGAACUUUUGCAGUGGCUGGGAAUCAAACCCAGGCCUCCCGCGUGGGCAGUUGGGAUUGUUUAGCUCAAAAGGCCUAAACAGUUUCCUUUUCGUUCACUAUGGUAGUACUAAGCUUCAGGUGUCAUAUUUUUGACCACCGUGACCCCUCUUGUGCUGUUGUGAGUUUGAGAUGCGGCACUUCCACUUUUAAAUUUCAGGAAACAGGAAAACUUAUGCACCACUUGCAACAGAUCUCAGCGACCCUUGUUCAUUCAUCAAAGGUAAAAAACGUUGUUUGAAAUAAGAGUAAACCAACAGAUUAAUUUUUCAGGUGUAUUUUAAAGGUAACAGAAGUGUCUCCUGUGAUUUCAUUUACUUGAUUUAAGGAAGCUUCUAUCGCUUGGUUAAAGACGGUUAGAUUUAAUCAGCUGUGGUAAAAUGGCAGGGUAAAUUAUGAAUGAACCUGUCUUAAUGCAUGUUCAAUCUUCCAGGUAAGUAAAUCCCAAAAAGUGGAUUCUGUUCAUCUGGACGCAGCUGUUUCAGUGGGAGAAAUGUUUCAUCACUCACCCAAGUGACUUCUUCGGUCUCAGCUAUAUAAAGGAAAAUCUUUCCGGUGGCUUGUGGAGAAUGAUGUUGGGUACACCAUAUACCUGAUCGAAAACCUCCUGAAUGAAGAGGCAGCAAAUGUUCUGUUUAUUGUCUAGAUGAAAAAAUUAUUUUCUAUUAUUAUACUGUAGGUGCAGCCUCAGGUGUGAUGAUGAAGUACCUGUGCACCUCCCACAGGAGCUGGCAUUUCUACUAAAGGAGACCACAGGACCCAGUACAGAUGCUGCUUGCACAUCUGUCUGCAAAGUGUUCACUUUUGAAAACAGCAGUGAAGAUGAAACAAUAUAAGAGUAACACUGCUUUUCAAAUAUCCAUUGAUUUGGGAUUUAAAUCCUAGCUCCUUCAGUUCAGCCAGCUAUGGCUGGUUAUGAGCAUGACCUCAGCAGCUGGACGACUUCUUCACACCAGAAGCUGUGAAUGAAGACUGAGCUU